rnacentral:rRNA from 1 species
CCCUUAGAUGUCCUGGGCCGCACGCGCGUUACACUGAUGCAUUCAACGAGCUUAUAACCUUGGCCGAGAGGCCUGGGCAAUCUUGUUAACGUGCAUCGGGAUAGGGAUAGAUUAUUGAAAUUAUUAAUCUUGAACGAGGAAUUCCUAGUAAACGCAGAUCAUCAAUCUGCAUUGAUUACGUCCCUGCCCUUUGUACACACCGCCCGUCGCACCUACCGAUUGGAUGGUCCGGUGAAGCCUCGGGAUUGUGGUUCUUGCCGCUUUAUUGUGGCAUGACCGCGAGAACUUGUCUAAACCUUAUCAUCUAGAGGAAGGUGAAGUCGUAACA